rnacentral:rRNA from 1 species
GUAGGGAAUAUUGGACAAUGGGCGAAAGCCUGAUCCAGCAACGCCGCGUGCGCGAUGACGGCCUUCGGGUUGUAAAGCGCUUUUAAGGGAGAUGAGAAAGGACAGUAUCCCUUGAAUAAGCCUCGGCGAACUACGUGCCAGCAGCCGCGGUAAAACGUAGGAGGCUAGCGUUAUCCGGAUUUAUUGGGCGUAAAGCGCGUGCAGGCGGUUUGUCAAGUUGGAUGUGAAAGCUCCUGGCUUAACUGGGAGAGGUCGUUCAAAACUGACAGACUAGAGAAUGGGAGAGGGAGGUGGAAUUCCGGGUGUAGUGGUGAAAUGCGUAGAUAUCCGGAGGAACACCAGUGGCGAAAGCGGCCUCCUGGACCACUUCUGACGCUAAGACGCGAAAGCUAGGGUAGCAAACGGGAUUAGAUACCCCGGUAGUCC